rnacentral:tRNA from 1 species
GCGGGAUUAGUUUAGUGGUAGAACGGCUGCUUCCCAAGCAGCAGAUACGGGUUCGAUUCCCGUAUCCCGCA